CUAGUUCUGCAGCUUAGUGGAAGAUUGUGGUAUAAAUGCAGACCAGCAUGAACUGGACUUAUUUGUUUUUGUGCAGUAUAAAAAUGCAUACUUUCUGACUGAGGCAGUUUCCACAUUGGGCUGAGAGUAAUCAGAGAUAAGAUAGGAAGAGAUGAAUGAGCAGCUGUGAAAGAUCAGCAGGAAAUUGCAUGGAAAACAAGCAGGAGAAGAGCAUCUGGAUCAUGGAAACAGAAGAGGAGAAAAGUGUAACCACACUUGGAGAGGACAUAAUCAUCCUACAUCUUCUUCCUCCGCCGACCUACAGGGCUGUCUGGCAUGGAUGCCUAGUUGUCUUUAAAACGCUGAUUCCAGUACAUUAAAAAAAAUCAUGACAGCCACUUCUUUUUUUUAGUCAUAAUGUUGUAAGUGACAAUUCAGUGCACACGUCUCAAAGGACAAUCUAGGUGUUGGCUGACCAAUAGGCAGUAGGGUUAAAUAACUGUAUGAGAUGGUUACACGACAAUGAUGCAACACUGUUUUUGGCCCAGUUUCUCUCUGUUGCCCUUCUAGUACUUCAUUUGUUGUCAGUAGACCUCCACUGCUGUUGCCUACUUGGUAGUACAGCUCCUUGUUUCCAUCCCAAAGUGGCUCAUUACUUGCCUUACUUUCAGACCUGCAAGAGUUUUCCCUAGAAGUAAUGCAAGCCAUGGGAAGACGCGGCACGUGACCUCAGCCAUGAUCUUCCCUGUCAUUUGUGAAGAUGGCAUCUUUGUUAUCAGCUUGUGCAUAACUGAUCUGUCCUGCAUCCUUAAUGCUGGGAACUCAUUUGCUCAAGCAUUUUGGCUCCUGAGAUGAUUUACAGUUCUUAAGAAAUUGGGAGAGGCAGCAGCCUUUGGAAAGCACCAGGAGAGCUAUCUCUCAGCACCACGGUAGCUACAGGCACAGCACUGGGGACCCAAGUUCUAGGUACAUAGAGGUAUAUCCACAUACAGUAUAUAGUGUUCCUAGCUCCACUUGGUCAAUCUCAAUGAUAUGGUCAAAGAACCCAAAGCAGAUUCCACAAACCUGAAGCUUGACCACUCAGCCAUGGCCAGGUCAGCUUUAUAUUACCAGAGGCAAAUUGCACACCUUCGCCCCUAUCCUGAUGGGAAGUCCCUAACAACACUGGUCCAGCCACUUGGUAAUCUUCAAAAUAGAAGAUUGUAAUGCUUUUUACAUUCGGCUGCCCUUCAAGGUGGUUCAGAAGCUGCAGCAAG
rnacentral:lncRNA from 1 species